GACGAACGCUGGCGGCGUGAUUAACACAUGCAAGUCGAACGAAGUGGCGAACGGGUGAGUAACGCGUAAUGAACCUGCCCUUCAGCGGGGGACAACAGUUGGAAACGACUGCUAAUACCGCAUACUGAAGGAGGGGAUUGCGUCAGAUUAGCUAGUUGGAGGGGUAAGGGCCCACCAAGGCGAUGAUCAGUAGCCGGUCUUAGAGGAUGAACCGCCACAUUUGGACUGAGACACGACCCAGACUCCUACGGGAGGCAGCAGUGGGGAAUCUUCCGCAAUGUACGAAAGUCUUACGGAACAACGCCGCGUGAGUGAUGACGGCCUUCGGGUUGUAAAGCUCUGUUGUUAGAGAAGCGGUAUCUAACCAGAAAGCCACGGCUAACUACGUGCCAGCAGCCGCGGUAAUUC
rnacentral:rRNA from 1 species